GGGGCGAUUUUAGGCACCGUGGGAGCGCCUCAAAAAGCCACUGUAGCGAUCCCCAACUCAGCUCUCACACAGGCGACAGCGCGGCGGGGCACGCCCGCUACGUCCGUACUUCGCCGGCCGCUGUCCACAGUUGCCCACCCAGCGAGGCAGCGAGCCUCCUCCUUCUCCGGCCUCUCUCUGCCGUCGACGCCUCGGCCUCGCCCGUCCCCCGCCCGCCAUCUCUCAUCUGCUGAGCCGUCAAUCUUACGGAACGAGCGGUCGCAGCUGCUCCGGUCGCCGGCUAGAUCUGCAGCGCCAUCCCUCCACCCGCUCACCACCGUGAUCUACCUGCCGUCACCGGUCCUCUCCCUCUGCCGCACCUCCGACUGAGGUGGAGUUCAACAGAAUGAGAGAAUUUUCACCCGUGUUCAGUUGAAGUUCGAGAUUUCAUGAUGUAUUAGUACUUACUAAUCUGGCAAAGAUCAUAAAAUGUAUACCUGGCCAAACCUCGGGCCGGGCCGGGCCUAGCCAAGCCCGAGGCAAAAAACCCAGGCCCGAGCCCGGCCCGGCCAUCAGGCCUGGUUUUUAGGCCCAAUCCCGGCCAGGACACAUAAAAGCCCGGCGGGCCUCGGGCCGGGCCCCUUCAGGAAAUCACAAAAACGACGGGCCCGGCAGUCUCCCUGCGUCGCCCCUGGGUCAGAAGAACUAGUGCGGAUUGUACUCCUUUUGCUGAACUCAGCGUUGUAAUAACUGGACUUGAUAUUUUGCUGAACCUGUUCUGAGAGGCUUCUUUUAAUUUAAAAAAAAGGAUAUUAUAGAACUGAAUUGGACAUGUUGCACUGCUUUUCAACAGUAGACCUCAACAUGGAACCUCUCAGCAUUUGGAGUCCUUGGCUUCGGACCAAAGAAGCUCUCAGAUUCAAGAUAUGGAAAAUGGUUGCUGGUAUUUCUGAUCCUACCAUAUGUCCAUCGGCUAUGUAAUGCUUUUCAACGAAAAUUCUACUUGUGCCACACAUGAAAUCUAUCAGUAUCCUGCCAUCGUGAUGGUACGUGGUGGUGUUUGUA